AGGGCGUCAUCGUCACCUCUACUCACAUUUCUUUUUUUCUACUCACAUUUCAAGAGGGAACACAAAGCACUGGCAGGCCUCAGGGUGGCUGUGGACCUGACUGCACCUUGGAGAGCCAGUGACUUAUAAAGAGGUGACAGGAGAACAGAGAAAAACGGAAUAUCAACAGCAGGAAGUCACAUUUCUAUAUCACUUUAUGCUUUUAAAAAAUAACAAAAAAUUUUUUUCAGGCACUGAUGUCAUAUCCGGUUCCUUCAGCUCUGGGGAAGAGCUGGUUUCAAAUUUCCAUGUCAUGGAAGUGGAAACAGAGGCUCAGAGAGGUGCGUGGUCACCCCAAGCAGAGCCUGAGCCCCAGACUCUCCGGCCCACCACUGAAGAGCAAGACAGAUCCUUCAGCAUCUCCAUGUUACUGCUUUUCAGUGCCCCCUCGCCCAGCUCUCAUCUCUGCUGCCUGCCUGCCUGCUGACCUCACCCCUUGAAGGCUCUGACCUCAGCACCAGCUGACCUGGCCCCGGAUGCCCAGCAGUGACCACCAGCUGCAGAGCUCUGGGUUCCUGCUUCCGAGUCUCUGCUCCUCUGAGUCUGAUUUCCUUCCUGGGCGUGGCUCGCCUGAAUUCAGUGUAACUGACACACAGAACAUUGUGCUCCAACAGGUGUCAUACCAGGAGUAGGAGUAUAAUAGAGAUGGACAAGCCAUAAAGCACUCCUCCGGGGCAGGUGGACAUGAGGAAAAGACCCCAGAACAGAGAACAAGGGUGAGAAAUAACAUAAGGAAGGACAGUGCUCAGUAAAUGGCAGCCACAGGGCCAGCCUCUGUACUGCUCCUUUUGGAUGAGUUGGCUCAUUCAGCCACUGACGAGUCCCUACCCAGCCUCCCUCUGGAACUCCCGGCUCACUGCCCUCCUGGGGUCCUGGUUCAGCACCAGCACUUCCUGCUCUGAUCAUGUGCUUCUCAGCCUCCAGAACUGGAGCAUAAAUGUCUUUAAUUUAUAAAUUACGCCGUCUCAGGCAUUUUGUUACAGUAGCACAAACUGACCAGGAAGGACAUCAGCCUUCCUUGCUGAUCAGUGUGACUACAUGGUAAAGGGCGCAUGAUUAGUACCUACAGAACAAACAGCCUUCGGGUGACCCAUGUGACGAAAGGAGAGUCACUUCCUUCCCUUCCUCUGCCUCUUUCCGCCCCUCCACCAACUGGAUUAUCAGAGACACAGUGAGGUGGCUGGCUUCACACUGAUAAUAGGAACAGGAAGUGACACGAGGGAACUAUCAUGCUGUCCCAGCACUGCUGAUGGCUGCUUGUUAGUCAUGGAAAGGAAACUCCUCUUAUUGAAGCAGGUCUUUGUGGGCUCCGCUACAGCCACCGCUCCUGAGCCCUUGCUACCAUAAGGGCUGUUCCGGUGACUCAGCCCAAGGAUGAGGUCUCAAGCCACAGCAGAGAAAGGGUAAGACUGCUCCUGAGACUGUGAGACCUGGGAUCCGACUGAACGUGGAGAAGGAGGACCAGUGUGACCUUAAGUUGACAGCAGAGUGGAAGCAUUCGAGAGACUUCUUGCCUAUAACUUUGGUAGUUCCCAAAGGAAAGGGCAAGAACCUGGAGGCUCCUUGAGUUACUGACCGAGGCAAGUGCGUGGACACUUUUGUCAUCUAGGAGAAAGGAAAGCAUCCCAGGCACAACUGUGCGCUGUCCAGAAAGAAGGUGAUUGGCACCAGAGAGACCACUCCUCCUCUCUGCCAAGGGAAGCCUGACUAAUACAAGAACUUAAUUACAGAUGGCCAAGGUGGAGCAAGAUGAAUGUCACAGCUUGUUGUUGGGGGCCUCACACAUGCUAGGCAAGCACUGUGCCAUCAGACAUUUGCAUGAUUUAGGAUUAACCCAAGCAUCAACUCCCACUGGAAACUACUGAGUGAGACUCUUGAGUGUUCCAGUGUUGGGGGCCUCACACAUGCUAAGCAAGCACUGUCCUACCAGGACACAUCCCUGCCCUGGCUCCCAUUUCCUGACAUCUCCUGUGAAGAGUCAUCCGUGUUUAUCUCAUUAAAACUCCUAGAAAUCUUAGGAGAUGGCAAGAAUCACCAUAUCUGAGGCAAUUGACUGCAGCACAGAGCAGACUCGGCCACUAUACAGCGUUUCCGCUGGGCCAGGCAGUAGCACCACAGGAAAGGAGAGGCACUGUGAUGAGCUCAUCAAACCCCCACCUGCUACCCGAAAUGUGUGACCCACCUCACGGCAGAGAAGGAAGCUGCCACUGUCAGGACCCUGCAGUCUGCACGGAAGCAAGUGCCUCCUGGUGGCUGCCACCAACGGAACCCACCUGGCAGCCACACAACGAAGUGUGUAGCCUUCCAGUCCUGGGACAAUCAACAGAGGCCCCAGGUGUUCAGACAGCCACUCUGCUUGGGUGGGCCACAGCCUGUCACCUUGAAAUCCCUUGCCUUGCCACCACUCUCUAGUCCAGCUAUGUUCCAGAAAGAGCUACAAACCUGGUCUCUCAGGGGCUUUAUCAGAAUGCAAUUCCAGGGCCCAGCGCAGAUCUGCUGACUUGCAUUUCCGAGUCUUGGGAUGAGCGCACACGGCAGAGUGGGGUUAAGAUCCACAUUUGUGUAGCCCAGAGCCACUAGUGGUUAAAGGCCCCAGACUCUUGGGGGUCCCCUGCACAGCCUUGUGGGAGUAUUUAUCCUGGCUUGACCUUGGCCACUGGGGGCCACCAUAGACCUUACUGGCUUUUGUUCCCUGUGUGGGAUGCAGUGCCAGGCAUGUGCCAUUGCCCUAGAAGCUGAAUGUACAAAUAAGUGAAGUGGUCACCGCAGGUUUAGGGCAGCCACCAACCCAUGGGCAGUGUCCUAGAGGCCACUGCUCUUUGGGAAGGCAGGAUCAGUAUGAAAACCGAAAACCAGAACAGGCCAGGCAUUUAGCUCAGCAGCUUAAGCGCCUGCCUGGCAAGUGCACAAGUGUGAGGUCAUGAGUUUGAUCCCUGGAACCAAAACCAAAAAAAAGAAAAGGAAAGAAAAAAAGAAAACCCGAAGGAGGCCUGCACAACACUCCCAAGAUUAGUCACAACCUCUGUCUGAAUUGUUUGGUUAAAAUGCACAGUGUAAGGUGCUUAGUCUCAAAUCACUCCUUUGUUUGUUUUUAAAAUCAUUAUUUAAAAAAAAAAAACACAGCUGUCAGCAUGUGAAGUGCAAAUCCCUGAAGCCGGCAGUCCUCUUGUCACCCUAU